AAGAAAAGAAAGAAAGAAAAAAGGAAGAAAGAAAAAAAAGAAAGAAAGAGCGAUGGCCUGUAUUGACCUUACGAUUGAUGAAGAUUUAGUUGUGGUUUCUCACCCCUCUCCUUCUCCUUCUCCCUCUCCUUCUCCCUCUUUGUCCGAUUU
rnacentral:ribozyme from 13 species